rnacentral:rRNA from 1 species
AGAGUUUGAUCCUGGCUCAGGAUGAACGCUGGCGGCGUGCCUAACACAUGCAAGUCGAGCGAUUUACUUCGGUAAAGAGCGGCGGACGGGUGAGUAACGCGUGGGUAACCUGCCUCAUACACAUGGAUAACAUACCGAAAGGUAUGCUAAUACAGGAUAAUAUAAGAGAUUCACAUGGAUUUCUUAUCAAAGCUCCGGCGGUAUGAGAUGGACCCGCGUCUGAUUAGCUAGUUGGUAAGGUAAUGGCUUACCAAGGCGACGAUCAGUAGCCGACCUGAGAGGGUGAUCGGCCACAUUGGAACUGAGACACGGUCCAAACUCCUACGGGAGGCAGCAGUGGGGAAUAUUGCACAAUGGGCGAAAGCCUGAUGCAAGCAACGCCGCGUGAGUGAUGAAGGCCUUCGGGUCGUAAAACUCUGUCCUCAAGGAAGAUAAUGACGGUACUUGAGGAGGAAGCCCCGGCUAACUACGUGCCAGCAGCUGC